CGUCAACGCCACCGCCACCCCCACCAGCAUCCCCUCCAUCGUCACCGCCGACAACACCGUCACCAUAACAACAAAAACAUCCCGACCGCCUUCCGCCAGGCAGCUCGUCGCAGAGCCAUACUUCUUAGCUGCAGCCACAGCCAAGGAACUGUGGACCGAAACGAAGGCGGAGAUUUGACUGAGUCAGAUUUUCCUAGUGGGAACUCCUUUCUUGGCAGCCGGGCCCGGGCCCGGCUCUCGUGUGGCGGGGUCCCAGCGUUCCGCUCCCAGCCUCGCAACGCCUCUUCCAAGAUAGCUGAGCUGAUUCCAAAGGCCUGUGACCGUGUUCUGGGGAGAAACACACAUCUUCACAUGGCUGACUUCUCAUCAGGUCUCAAGUCAAACGUUACGAGUCUUGCCCCGACCACUUAACUGAGGUGCUCCACCCCCAAAACUGUUCUCUAGCCCAUCUUCAAGCACUCGUCGCUCUCCAAAGAGGAGGAAGCAAGAUGGCACCUGGAGUAGGUAAGAUGUCUUCCUGGAGGAGUUAGAGGUGACGCUGAUCUCAAAGGAAGGAGACCCUGGAGAAGAGGAGCAGGGACACUCACGAGGCGCUCACCAAACGGCUGCUUUUUGAGCACCUACUGUGUGCCAGGCAGGAGACUCCAACAGGCCGAACCCCUGCCCUCAUGGAGCCUGUUCUCAAAGCACAGCAGCCUCUGCCUGGGGCCGACCCUGCCCGCAACGCCCCGACCCCGGGCCCUGCCGGGCCCUGCCUCUUCUGGCUCCGAUCCCUUCUAAAAGGCUCUAAUUACAUCCUGGGAGAAACAAUUGGGAUGAAUCUGAGGGGGUUUUUUUCUCUCUGUCCCCAAGGCCAGGCCUGUUUAAUAACUUAAUUAAAUAAACAGAAUUAUAAUUAUAAUGUU